CCUACGGGUGGCAGCAGUGAGGAAUAUUGGUCAAUGGGCGCGAGCCUGAACCAGCCAAGUAGCGUGAAGGAUGACUGCCCUACGGGUUGUAAACUUCUUUUAUAAAGGAAUAAAGUGCGGCACGUGUGCCUUUUUGUAUGUACUUUAUGAAUAAGGAUCGGCUAACUCCGUGCCAUCAGCUGCGGUAAUACGGAGGAUCCGAGCGUUAUCCGGAUUUAUUGGGUUUAAAGGGAGCGUAGAUGGGUUGUUAAGGAAGUUGUGAAAGUGUGCGGCUCAACCGUAAAAUUGCAAUUGAUACUGGCAGCCGGGAGUACAGGUGAGGUAGGCGGAAUUCGUGGUGUAGCGGUGAAAUGCUUAGAUAUCACGAAGAACUCCGAUUGCGAAGGCAGCUUACUAAACUGCCACUGACAUUGAUGCUCGAAAGUGUGGGUAUCAAACAGGAUUAGAUACCCCAGUAGUC
rnacentral:rRNA from 1 species